UUAUUACUUAAUAUACACAUGCAAGUAUCCGCCCCCCUGUGAAAACGCCCUUUAAACCCCUCUAGGGACAAGGAGCCGGUAUCAGGCACGAAAAAUCUGCCCAAAACACCUAGCUACGCCACACCCACAAGGGAAUUCAGCAGUGAUCAACAUUGAGCAUUAACGCAAGUUUGACUCAGUUAAAGUAAGAUAGAGCCGGCUAAUCUGGUGCCAGCCGCCGCGGUUACACCACGUGGCUCAAAUUGACCUCUUCCGGCGUAAAGCGUGAUUAAAGCUAUCUUUUACUAGAGUUAAACUAAAAUUAAGCUGUGACACGCUUGUUUACUAAGAAACCCAAAAACGAAAGUUACUCUAACACAACCAACUUGAAUUCACGACAGCUAGGAAACAAACUGGGAUUAGAUACCCCACUAUGCCUAGCCGUAAACCUUUACCUACAACCCAAUCGCCCGGGAACUACGAGCCAAGCUUAAAACCCAAAGGACUUGACGGUACCCCACAUCCCCCUAGAGGAGCCUGUCCUAUAAUCGAUAAUCCACGUUUGACCUCACCACUUCUAGCCAACCAGCCUGUAUACCUCCGUCGUCAGCUUACCACAUGAGCGUUAAUUAGUGAGCCUAAUGCCAUUUCAUCAAUACGUCAGGUCAAGGUGCAGCAAAUGAAGAGGGAAGAGAUGGGCUACACUUUCUACAUUAGAAGAUACGAAAAACUACCUAUGAAACCUAGUUAGAAGGCGGAUUUAGCAGUAAAAAGGAAUCAGAAUGUCCUUUUUAACCCGGCACUGGGGUGUGUACACACCGCCCGUCACCCUCUUCAGAUUUAUAAACACAGUUUUUAACCAACCAAAACUUAACAGAAGAGGCAAGUCGUAACAUGGUAAGCAUACCGGAAGGUGUGCUUGGAAA
rnacentral:ncRNA from 1 species